CAGCGAUCAUAAUCACAGCUGUUUACAUUCCCCCUCAAGCCAACACAGACCAGGCACUCAAGGAACUGUAUGGGAAUAUAAGUGAGCAGGAAACCGCUUACCCAGAUGCGGCGUUUAUUGUUACGGGGGACUUUAACAAAGCCAACUUCAGAACAAUAACUCCAAAAUAUUUUCAACACAUCACCAUCAACACACGUGGUGAUCGUGCACUGGACCACUGCUACUCUCCUUUCCGGGACGCCUACAAAUCCCUCCCCCGCCCACCUUUCGGCAAAUCGGAUCACUCUUCCAUUCUGCUCCUGCCUGCUUAUAGGCAGAAACUGAAACGGGAAGCACCCGCCCUCAGGACAAUUCAAUGCUGGUCGGACCAAUCAGACGCUAUACUACAGGACUGUUUUGAUCACGUGGACUGGGACAUGUUCCGGGCAGCGUCUGAUGACGACAUAGAGGCAUACUCAGAUACUGUAACAUGUUUCAUCAGGAAGUGCGUAGAAGAUGUAGUGCCGACAAAAACAAUCCGCAUCUACCCCAACCAAAAACCGUGGAUUAAUAGCGAUGUUCGAGCAGCCUUGUCAGUGCGGACAUCUGCUUUUAAAUCUGGACACGCUGACGAUCGCAAACAAGCCAGUUACGAUCUCAGGAAAUCCAUCAAAGCCGCAAAAAGACAAUAUAAAAACAAAGUUGAAGAACAAUUCAACACCAACAAUGCAAGAAGCAUGUGGCAGGGCAUCAAUAACAUAACAGACUUUAAAGGGAACAAACCAGCUACUGUGAACAUUGCCGCCUCUCUACCGGAUGAGCUUAAUAACUUUUAUGCUCGUUUCGAGGCUCACAACACCGCCCACACAGAGAGCGCUCCCGCGGCUGCUGCAGAAGAGGUGAGUGCACUCUCCGUCUCUGUCGCGGAUGUAACCCGAUCAUUCCGACGGGUGAAUAUCCGCAAGGCUGCGGGUCCUGAUGGCAUCCCAGGCCGUGUGCUCCGAGCAUGCGCAUUCCAACUAGCCGGUGUUUUCACAGACAUUUUCAACUUCUCCCUCUCUCUGUCUGUGGUUCCCUCGUGCUUCAAAAAAUCCACCAUUGUGCCCAUACCAAAGAAAAAUAAAAUCACAUGCUUGAAUGACUGGAGGCCCGUUGCUCUUACACCCAUCUUCAGCAAGUGUUUUGAGAGACUCGUCAGAGACUACAUCUGCUCAUUGCUGCCUGCCUCACUGGAUCCGCUACAAUUUGCAUAUCGUAGCAACCGUCUACAGACGAUGCUAUUGCUUUCACACUACACACUGCUCUCUCCCACCUGG
rnacentral:lncRNA from 1 species